rnacentral:rRNA from 1 species
AGAGUUUGAUCCUGGCUCAGGACGAACGCUGGCGGCGUGCCUAAUACAUGCAAGUCGAACGCAAUCUUUGACUAAUGAGUGCUUGCACUCAGCGGUCAAAGUGCGAGUGGCGAACGGGUGAGUAACACGUGGGCAAUCUGCCCAAAAGUGGGGGAUAACACUUGGAAACAGGUGCUAAUACCGCAUCAACCGGCUGACCGCAUGGUCGGCCGGGCAAAGACGGCGUCAGCUGUCGCUUUUGGAUGAGCCCGCGGCGUAUUAACUAGUUGGUAAGGUAACGGCUUACCAAGGUGAUGAUACGUAGCCGAACUGAGAGGUUGAUCGGCCACAUUGGGACUGAGACACGGCCCAAACUCCUACGGGAGGCAGCAGUAGGGAAUCUUCCACAAUGGACGCAAGUCUGAUGGAGCAACGCCGCGUGAGUGAAGAAGGUUUUCGGAUCGUAAAGCUCUGUUGUUGGUGAAGAAAGAUAGUGAGAGUAACUGCUCAUUAUUUGCCGGUAAUCAACCAGAAAGUCACGGCUAACUACGUGCCAGCAGCCGCGGUAAUACGUAGGUGGCAAGCGUUGUCCGGAUUUAUUGGGCGUAAAGCGAGCGCAGGCGGAAAGAUAAGUCAGAUGUGAAAGCCCUCGGCUUAACCGAGGAAUAGCAUCGGAAACUGUCUUUCUUGAGUGCAGAAGAGGAGAGUGGAACUCCAUGUGUAGCGGUGAAAUGCGUAGAUAUAUGGAAGAACACCAGUGGCGAAAGCGGCUCUCUGGUCUGUAACUGACGCUGAGGUUCGAAAGCGUGGGGAGCGAACAGGAUUAGAUACCCUGGUAGUCCACGCUGUAAACGAUGAAUGCUAGGUGUUGGAGGGUUUCCGCCCUUCGGUGCCGCAGCUAACGCACUAAGCAUUCCGCCUGGGGAGUACGAUCGCAAGAUUGAAACUCAAAGGAAUUGACGGGGGCCCGCACAAGCGGUGGAGCAUGU